rnacentral:rRNA from 1 species
AGUAACGCGUGAGUAACCUGCCUUACACAAGGGGAUGGCCUCUGGAAACGGAGAAUAAUACCCUAUGAAACUAUCUUAUCGCAUGAAAAGAUAGUCAAAGUGUUUUAGCGGUGUAAGAUGGACUUGCGUCUGAUUAGCUAGUUGGUGAGAUAACAGCCCACCAAGGCAACGAUCAGUAGCCGGCUUGAGAGAGUGUACGGCCACAUUGGGACUGAGACACGGCCCAG